AUGUUGCCAUGGUUUCUUACUUUCUAUUUUGCCAUGAAAAUUUUGAUCUUCCUAACACUUUACCCUUUUUCAAAUAUGGCAAUCUUUGACUUGUAUCAUGGUAAAUUUACUUUUCAUAGCCGUGCUAAAUCUAAUUUAAUUGCCAUGGCAAUUUUACAUUUACGCACAUGGCAAAUUUAUUUUUACACACAUGGCAAAUUUACAUUUACAACAAUGACAUUUUUACUUCCCUUUUUUUGCCAUGGCAAAUUUUACCUUUUCAAAUUUGCCAUGGCAAAUUUACUUUUCCAUACAUGGCAAAUUUACACUUACUCCCUCCGUAAAGAAAUAUAA
rnacentral:rRNA from 1 species